rnacentral:rRNA from 1 species
AGCGUACACGGUGGAUGCCCUGGCAGUCAGAGGCGAUGAAGGACGUGCUAAUCUGCGAUAAGCGUCGGUAAGGUGAUAUGAACCGUUAUAACCGGCGAUUUCCGAAUGGGGAAACCCAGUGUGAUUCGUCACACUAUCAUUAACUGAAUCCAUAGGUUAAUGAGGCGAACCGGGGGAACUGAAACAUCUAAGUACCCCGAGGAAAAGAAAUCAACCGAGAUUCCCCCAGUAGCGGCGAGCGAACGGGGAGCAGCCCAGAGCCUGAAUCAGUGUGUGUGUUAGUGGAAGCGUCUGGAAAGGCGCGCGAUACAGGGUGACAGCCCCGUACACAAAAAUGCACAUGCUGUGAGCUCGAUGAGUAGGGCGGGACACGUGGUAUCCUGUCUGAAUAUGGGGGGACCAUCCUCCAAGGCUAAAUACUCCUGACUGACCGAUAGUGAACCAGUACCGUGAGGGAAAGGCGAAAAGAACCCCGGCGAGGGGAGUGAAAAAGAACCUGAAACCGUGUACGUACAAGCAGUGGGAGCACGCUUAGGCGUGUGACUGCGUACCUUUUGUAUAAUGGGUCAGCGACUUAUAUUCUGUAGCAAGGUUAACCGAAUAGGGGAGCCGAAGGGAAACCGAGUCUUAACUGGGCGUUAAGUUGCAGGGUAUAGACCCGAAACCCGGUGAUCUAGCCAUGGGCAGGUUGAAGGUUGGGUAACACUAACUGGAGGACCGAACCGACUAAUGUUGAAAAAUUAGCGGAUGACUUGUGGCUGGGGGUGAAAGGCCAAUCAAACCGGGAGAUAGCUGGUUCUCCCCGAAAGCUAUUUAGGUAGCGCCUCGUGAAUUCAUCUCCGGGGGUAGAGCACUGUUUCGGCAAGGGGGUCAUCCCGACUUACCAACCCGAUGCAAACUGCGAAUACCGGAGAAUGUUAUCACGGGAGACACACGGCGGGUGCUAACGUCCGUCGUGAAGAGGGAAACAACCCAGACCGCCAGCUAAGGUCCCAAAGUCAUGGUUAAGUGGGAAACGAUGUGGGAAGGCCCAGACAGCCAGGAUGUUGGCUUAGAAGCAGCCAUCAUUUAAAGAAAGCGUAAUAGCUCACUGGUCGAGUCGGCCUGCGCGGAAGAUGUAACGGGGCUAAACCAUGCACCGAAGCUGCGGCAGCGACACUAUGUGUUGUUGGGUAGGGGAGCGUUCUGUAAGCCUGUGAAGGUGUACUGUGAGGUAUGCUGGAGGUAUCAGAAGUGCGAAUGCUGACAUAAGUAACGAUAAAGCGGGUGAAAAGCCCGCUCGCCGGAAGACCAAGGGUUCCUGUCCAACGUUAAUCGGGGCAGGGUGAGUCGACCCCUAAGGCGAGGCCGAAAGGCGUAGUCGAUGGGAAACAGGUUAAUAUUCCUGUACUUGGUGUUACUGCGAAGGGGGGACGGAGAAGGCUAUGUUGGCCGGGCGACGGUUGUCCCGGUUUAAGCGUGUAGGCUGGUUUUCCAGGCAAAUCCGGAAAAUCAAGGCUGAGGCGUGAUGACGAGGCACUACGGUGCUGAAGCAACAAAUGCCCUGCUUCCAGGAAAAGCCUCUAAGCAUCAGGUAACAUCAAAUCGUACCCCAAACCGACACAGGUGGUCAGGUAGAGAAUACCAAGGCGCUUGAGAGAACUCGGGUGAAGGAACUAGGCAAAAUGGUGCCGUAACUUCGGGAGAAGGCACGCUGAUAUGUAGGUGAAGUCCCUCGCGGAUGGAGCUGAAAUCAGUCGAAGAUACCAGCUGGCUGCAACUGUUUAUUAAAAACACAGCACUGUGCAAACACGAAAGUGGACGUAUACGGUGUGACGCCUGCCCGGUGCCGGAAGGUUAAUUGAUGGGGUCAGCGCAAGCGAAGCUCUUGAUCGAAGCCCCGGUAAACGGCGGCCGUAACUAUAACGGUCCUAAGGUAGCGAAAUUCCUUGUCGGGUAAGUUCCGACCUGCACGAAUGGCGUAAUGAUGGCCAGGCUGUCUCCACCCGAGACUCAGUGAAAUUGAACUCGCUGUGAAGAUGCAGUGUACCCGCGGCAAGACGGAAAGACCCCGUGAACCUUUACUAUAGCUUGACACUGAACAUUGAGCCUUGAUGUGUAGGAUAGGUGGGAGGCUUUGAAGUGUGGACGCCAGUCUGCAUGGAGCCGACCUUGAAAUACCACCCUUUAAUGUUUGAUGUUCUAACGUUGACCCGUAAUCCGGGUUGCGGACAGUGUCUGGUGGGUAGUUUGACUGGGGCGGUCUCCUCCUAAAGAGUAACGGAGGAGCACGAAGGUUGGCUAAUCCUGGUCGGACAUCAGGAGGUUAGUGCAAUGGCAUAAGCCAGCUUGACUGCGAGCGUGACGGCGCGAGCAGGUGCGAAAGCAGGUCAUAGUGAUCCGGUGGUUCUGAAUGGAAGGGCCAUCGCUCAACGGAUAAAAGGUACUCCGGGGAUAACAGGCUGAUACCGCCCAAGAGUUCAUAUCGACGGCGGUGUUUGGCACCUCGAUGUCGGCUCAUCACAUCCUGGGGCUGAAGUAGGUCCCAAGGGUAUGGCUGUUCGCCAUUUAAAGUGGUACGCGAGCUGGGUUUAGAACGUCGUGAGACAGUUCGGUCCCUAUCUGCCGUGGGCGCUGGAGAACUGAGGGGGGCUGCUCCUAGUACGAGAGGACCGGAGUGGACGCAUCACUGGUGUUCGGGUUGUCAUGCCAAUGGCACUGCCCGGUAGCUAAAUGCGGAAGAGAUAAGUGCUGAAAGCAUCUAAGCACGAAACUUGCCCCGAGAUGAGUUCUCCCUGACUCCUUGA